UACGUAGGGUGCGAGCGUUGUCCGGAAUUACUGGGCGUAAAGAGCUUGUAGGUGGUUUGUCGCGUUGUUCGUGAAAUCUCACGGCUUAACUGUGAGCGUGCGGGCGAUACGGGCAGACUAGAGUACUGCAGGGGAGACUGGAAUUCCUGGUGUAGCGGUGGAAUGCGCAGAUAUCGGGAGGAACACCAAUGGCGAAGGCAGCUUGCUAGGUUGAUUCAGACACUGAGAUGUGAAAGCGUGGGGAGCGAACGGG
rnacentral:rRNA from 1 species